rnacentral:rRNA from 1 species
CAGUAGCCGCGGGAAUACGUAGGGUGCAAGCGUUGUCCGGAAUUAUUGGGCGUAAAGAGCUCGUAGGCGGCUUGUUGCGUCGACUGUGAAAACCUGGGGCUCAACCCCGGGCCUGCAGUCGAUACGGGCAAGCUAGAAUUCGGUAGGGGAGACUGGAACUCCUGGUGUAGCGGUGAAAUGCGCAGAUAUCAGGAAGAACACCGGUGGCGAAGGCGGGUCUCUGGGCCGAUAUUGACGCUGAGGAGCGAAAGCGUGGGGAGCAAACAGGAUUAGAUACCCCUGUAGUCCCUGUCUCUUAUAC